rnacentral:rRNA from 1 species
UACGUAGGGUCCGAGCGUUUGUCCGGAAUUAUUGGGCGUAAAGGGCUCGUAGGCGGUCUGUUGCGUCGGGAGUGAAAACUUACAGCUUAACUGUGAGCGUGCUUUCGAUACGGGCAGACUUGAGGCAUUCAGGGGAGAACGGAAUUCCUGGUGUAGCGGUGAAAUGCGCAGAUAUCAGGAGGAACACCGGUGGCGAAGGCGGUUCUCUGGGAAUGUACUGACGCUGGAGGAGCGAAAGUGUGGGGAGCGAACAGG